UUCAGCAUGAGCUACAAGAUCACUGCAAUGGACAAAACAGACUGAAAGCACUUGACAAAAUCUAACACCCUUUCAUGAUUUAAAAUAAAAAAACAAACAAGUAAACAAAAAGAACAAAAACCCAAUGAAACGAGGAAAGCACUCAAUCUGAUAAAGGACAGAGGACAAAAGCUUCCCCCAAGAUGAAAAACAAGACCAGAUCACCUUUCUUUAGUGAAUUUGCAGAAUGUUACUAUGGGAAAUAAGUAACUAGAAGCAAUUUUAAAACUACAUGGCAUAGAGAGAUUUGGAGAACAUGGACAGUCUGCAUACAGUAUAUUCAACUUCACAUGCCAAAGCUAAUAUUUCUAUA
rnacentral:lncRNA from 1 species